rnacentral:misc_RNA from 1 species
AACGCACAUUGCGCCCUUUGGUAUUCCGAAGGGCAUGCCUGUUCGAGCGUCAUUAUCAACCCUCAAGCCCUGUGCUUGGUACUGGACGGUUUGGUGCGGCCAUCGGCCCUACCCCUCCUAAAGACAAUGACGGCGGCCUGUGAUUCCCCCGGUACACUGAGCUUUUAACUAGGCACGUAUCGGACAAGGGCGUCCAGGACCCGGUCCUUCUCCUUUCACGAGGAAAUUUACAAGGUUGACCUCGGAUCUGGUAGGAAUACGCGCUGAACUUAA